rnacentral:rRNA from 1 species
AGAGUUUGAUCCUGGCUCAGAAGGAACGCUGGCAGCGUGCAUAACACAUGCAAGUCGAACGGUAGUAGUAUCUUCGGAUACUAUGAGAGUGGCGAACGGGUGAGUAACACGUAAGAAUCUACCUUUAGGACGGGGAUAACUUCUGGAAACGGACGCUAAUACCCGAUAUGCUGUGGAGUGAAAUGAAUUUCGCCUAAAGAUGAUCUUGCGUCUGAUUAGCUAGAUAGGGUGGUAAUGGCGCCCUAUGGCGACGAUCAGUAGCUGGUCUGAGAGGAUGAUCAGCCACACUGGGACUGAGACACGGCCCAGACUCCUACGGGAGGCAGCAGUGGGGAAUUUUCCGCAAUGGGCGAAAGCCUGACGGAGCAACGCCGCGUGAGGGAUGAAGGCCUCUGGGCUGUAAACCUCUUUUAUCAAGGAAGAAGAUCUGACGGUACUUGAUGAAUAAGCCACGGCUAAUUCCGUGCCAGCAGCCGCGGUAAUACGGGAGUGGCAAGCGUUAUCCGGAAUUAUUGGGCGUAAA